UGCCUUUGCUGAUAUCCUCGGUGUGUUGCUUGCUGGUUUUGCUCUCUCAUUAGCUAAGCGUUGCUCUCGACCUAAUAAUCAUGCUACGGAUCACACCCGAGGGGUUUCGCUGGUUUGAGAAUGAUCAAUUGCGUUGGGUUAUGAAAAAGGAAGGGGUUGUUUGGUUGCUGAGAAAAGUUUUUCAGAAUGGAAAAUUGCAAAAGACUUAAUCAGUCACCUCCUGAAGCUCCUUCUAGUUGAAGGCUUAUCAUGAUUGUCUCCAUCUUCCUCUGGAAGCUUGACAGCAGAAUAGACCCCUGCACCGCAAAGUGCUCCAAGAAUAGGAGCAGUGAGGUAGACCCAUAUUGCUUCAUAGUUGUUUGCAGCUGCUGCAGGCCCUAAAGUCCUCACAGGGUUCAUUGAAGCUCUUGUUGUCUCCCUACAAAAUUAAAGGAAGCUAGAUAGAAGGUCGGAGUUCAAACAUACCCUGCAACAAGUAUAUUGAGCAUAACAGUUGCUCCUACCGCGAUUCCUGCCAACUCUCCCACCUGUUUGACAAUGAACAUUUGAUCUCACAUUCAUCCAUGUUAGGAGAUUCUUUUCGUACCCUUCUAAUUUAAUUUCCUAUUAUUGAUACAUCACGUUGAAUCAGUGAAGUAUAAAUUAUUUGCUUAAUACUUAGCUGCUCAUUUUCAGUGAAAGUUUUUCUUGUCUUAUUAUGGCAAGUUUUGAUUGAUGACUAGAAGAGGGAUGCCCAUCCUGACCAUUUGUUUAGGUGUUGACUGUUAAGUUGACUUUGGUCCUAGAGAUUUUUGGAUAUGGACAAGAUUGAACUAGGAGUUAUUAUUAGUAUAAUAUAGUAUUGGAAGUAGUACUUAGUAUAAUAUAUUAUUCAGUUUCAGUAUUACUUAGUUUGUAUAUCUCUUAU